rnacentral:rRNA from 1 species
CCCGCUGAACUUAAGCAUAUCAAUAAGCGGAGGAAAAGAAACCAACAGGGAUUGCCUCAGUAACGGCGAGUGAAGCGGCAACAGCUCAAAUUUGAAAUCUGGCUCUGCCCGAGUUGUAAUUUGCAGAGGGUGCUUUGGAGUCGUCCCCGGUCUAAGUUCCUUGGAACAGGACGUCGCAGAGGGUGAGAAUCCCGUACGCGGCUGGGUGCCUUCUCCAUGUAUUGCCCCUUCGACGAGUCGAGUUGUUUGGGAAUGCAGCUCAAAAUGGGUGGUAAAUUUCAUCUAAAGCUAAAUAUUGGCGAGAGACCGAUAGCGCACAAGUAGAGUGAUCGAAAGAUGAAAAGCACUUUGAAAAGAGAGUUAAAAAGUACGUGAAAUUGUUGAAAGGGAAGCGCUUGGGACCAGACUCAAUUUGUAGUGAUCAGCCACGCUUCUGUAUGGUGCACUUGCUGCAGAUUGGGCCAGCAUCGGUUCUGACGGUGGGAUAAAGGUUUGAGGAAUGUGGCUUCCCUUUCAGAGAAGUGUUAUAGCCUCGAGCGCAAUGUCACCUGUUGGGACCGAGGACCGCGCUUUUGCUAGGAUGCUGGCGUAAUGGUCUUAAGCGGCCCGUCUUGAAACACGG